ACCCGGAAUGCCUCCAUACCUACUUGGGGACAAAUAAAAACACUCUGCCAUCAGGCACGGGGAAUAACCUCUUUGCAGGGCUCUCCAACCUCCCCUGAGAAGAUGUUUAUUGCUAUGCUUGCCUUAUUAUCUUGCCAGGAUUCUUCGGCAGAGCAUUCAGAGGCUCGCGACUGAGCUACAUCUGGCUGUUUUAAGAAA